GUUUGCCUUAAAGACUGUCAGUGAUGUUAAGUUGGGGGAGGGGCUUAUGACCAUUGUCAGUGUGAAAUCCACACAACGUCCCUUUUCUUAAAUUUUGAUCAGAUUCUGUUGGUCAUCUUUUGUGUUUUGGAACCAAACAAACUGCAGGUCAUCAUUGUGCUGCGGCUGAUGAACAGCAGCCUUCCACAGACUUUAUGAAAAUGCUGGUCAUCUUUGGAAUCCUGGUCAUGUCCACACAAGUGUCCACAGGUUUGCUGCCCAUGAACCCUGUUUGUAGAGUUACUCAGAGUGAUCCAUGUUAUGGAGCUGUGGGACGACCGCUGUACCUGCAGCUGCCAUCUGAGGAUGAAAUCAUCUUGAAGAGGAGCAACAGUGGAACUAAAACUACUAAUGGCAUUUUCAUGUUUAGAAAACAAACAAAAAAACAUUCAGAUUAUCCAAGAUGGCAGUUUGUUACUGAUAACAACACCAUGAUAAUCAGCAGUGCAGAGAAAAGAGACUCAGGGAAAUACACUUUAGAUACAUUUGAUUCAGCAGGGACAUCAACAGGCAUUUAUCACCUCCAGCUGGUUAUUGAAGCUGUGGUGUCCUCAGUGACUGUGACAGACAGCUGCUCCUCCAAGGACAAGAGGGAAGUUUACUGCUCAUCUGAUGGUGAUAAUGUGCUCUACAACUGGACUUUCCUACAUACACACCAACUGGCUGGUGGGAACCAGACUCUUCUGCUGGACAAGGAAGCUGUCGGAAGUGUGACCUGCUAUGCACAAAAUCAUGUUACCCGUGGACACAGAACUAUUGAACUACAUCAGUGUUCUGAAACAUCUCAUAUAAUGUCAACCAUGGACAUGGGAUGUGGACAGAUGACAUUUUUGGAUACCAGUUUCCUGGUGUUUGUGUCAGUGUGGCUCUUUGAGGUCAUCGUCCUGCUGUCCCUGUUAGUUGGAGCGUUUUACAUCUACACCAGAAUCUACAAGAAACAGAGAGCAGCUGAGGGUAAGACCGGUACGUUUAUCAUGGAGCAUAUUAACUAUAUAUUUGAACAAUAUUGUAACCUGAAUAUAU
ensembl:lncRNA